AAUUAUAACCAGCAUCCAUUCUACAUAGUUAAGCACAUUUCCCACAACCAUACAGGCAACCCUUAAAGGCACAGUCUCUUUAUAUGGUCCAAGUGGCUAUGUUUGCCACACCCCCAAGAACGAGACAAAAGCUCCGUGUUGAGGGUCAAGCAGUGAACAGACAGAGCUGUGGGUUUAUUGUGCUUAUAUACACAUUCUUACACAUUAGUACCACCCACAGGGUUUUGGAACACAACCAAUAAACACAU